UCCUGUUAUGGUUUGCUCUCUCUCUGCCCUGAGUUGGGUGGUGUUCUGUGUUUUUCCACCUGGAGUGCUGGAGGCGUGUACAGAGGGAAGUAGCUCAAGGGGCGUGGCCGAUUCAACACUGCACAGCCGGUCUUCACAGCUGCAGCUCAUCUUCAUGAUUCACUCCUGCAAUACUUAAACCCGGGCUUAUCACCUCUUCGGCGCCAGUUCGUUAUUUACAACCCAUGUGGUAACUUGGCUCUCAGUCCCUGCUCAGACCUGCUGCUUCCUCCGCUGUGCCUGCAUGCUCCCCAGCCUCACCGUCCUGCCGCCGCCUCCACCUGGGACACAAUCUAUGUACUCAGCUCUGCCUGUUCACCUCGUGUCCCGUAACACUUGGACUCAUCCCCGUUGGCUGGCCUCAAGCCUCGGACCAGCCAGGAGUUUCCCCGCCCUGACACUGCCCACAGUGAUUCUCUGAGUACACCCUGCUCCGUUAAACCUUUUAAAACUGAUUUUACUUUGUCUGUGUGAUAUCUCUGCGUUCUGGUCAGACAAACCCCUUAACAUCUGUAUAGUCUGAUAUUAUAGGAUUUAGAUAUGAAUACAGUGCAAGGCAGAUCAUUGCAAUGGUAAUAUAUUAAGAACAAUAUUGUAAUUGUAGGAUUGAAAUAUACAUGAGUUUGAUGAGCAGAACAGUGUUUGACUUAGUUCAGUGUAAGGGUGGGUGCUAUUUCUGAGUGUUCAACAGAGUGACUGCUUGGGGAAAGAAACUGUCUCUGUGUCGGCUGGUUUUGGUGAACAGUGGUAGGUAUCUCCUACCAGAGGGAAGGAGGGUGAACAGUUUGUGACCAGGAUGUGAGGGGUCUGCAGAGAUUUUUGCUGCCUUUUUCCUGACCCUGGACCGGUACAGGUCCAUCUUUGAAUCAAACCUUUUGCUCCUUAACUUUCUUAUACUUCACUGAUUUAUGUUUGGAUUAUUAUAUUUAUUAUUGUAUUCAUCCUAUUCUUUUUUUCUGUUUUAAGAUAAAUAUGUAUGUACAUCUUUAAUAAAUGUCCAUUAUCUUUGUACACAAUUUUA